CUGCCAAUAUUCUCAUUGCUCUGAUUUUGUAAUAGUCAGGACAGCCUAAACAUUUGCUAUAUUUUUUUAAUUUUUAAUUUUAAUUUUUGUGGGUAUAACAUUCACUAUAUUAAGAUCAUACAUAUGCCCCCAAACCUAAUUCUUUUCUUAAGUAUAGUUUUAUAAAUGCUAACGAUGAAC
ensembl:snoRNA SNORA72 Small nucleolar RNA SNORA72